AUGUCAAUAGAAAAUCAUAUAGAAACAUUUCUUGGUGGUGUUAUACAGUUUUGUGGCCAACAGUAUUAUUUGUGCUUGUCCUGUGUAGGCCAGGUUAAUGAAUAUGCAUUUCACGUGCAUUUCAUGUUUAUGGGAAUCUUUGUUAUAACACGGAUGAUUUUGAUUGGUUGAUUGGAUCGUCUGCUUCAACAUGAUCAUACCUCGUGGUGUCUUGUGAGUUUCAUUGCAUUCUGAGGGCUGAUAAUGUGAGGUCGAGUCAGAGGAGUCACCAGAAUGGAAACCUUUCCUAAGUGUUCUGUUUGCCAUCAGCAGUUUACCCUGAAAGGCCCCGCCCCUGUCUACACGCUGUGUGUGAGACGUGUGUGACAUCUGCAGUUGGGUGUGUGAUAUCAUGCUCUACAUGUCAGAGGGAGGUCAACCUCAAAGACACAAGCCUCCAGAAGGAUGGAGCGAGACAGAAGGAAAUAUUCCACCUGACAGUCAAACAUCGCCCUACAGAGCUCCUCUGUACAACCAGGCUGUGUGUUGGUGUCGGGAGUGUGAAGAGUUCCUCUGUGAGUACUGCCUGAACAUGCACAGCCGUGUUAUAGCUACCAGAGGACAUGUUGUUGAAACCUUUACGGAUAAAACACGGGGAAGUAUGUACGCUGAAUCACAAUCGUUCACACUGGAGAGAUCAAUACAAGACGCACCGCACAUCAAUUCCACCAGUGAUGAACAGAACACCUGCAAACGGUUUCAUCACAAUGGGCCUUGAUAAAUUGAAAUCCGACAUAUCCGGGUUUGGGUGUGUCAAUGGAUAUGGCUCAGUACAAACAGCUGAAGUUCUUGGAGGUUCCUAACGAUCCAGCACCACUACCACGGUGUGAAGCUGGGCGUGAAACCUUCACACGUGAAGCAGGGACGACGACGACGGUGACACUACAGUGUGAGUACAAUCAGAUGCUAACUGUCUUCAACACUUGCUGAAACGACAUUGUCCGGACUUCAUAAACAGGAUACCAGACGAGGCGUGAAGUUCCGGGUUAGAAUUAGUCGUCAGCAUCCCAUGCUGUACUGGGCGUGACGUACACGGGAUGACGUACACGGGAUGACGUACACUGGAUGACGUACACUGGAUGACGUACACGGGAUGACGUACACGGGAUGACGUACUGGGCGUGCUGUACACGGGAUGACGUACACGGGAUGACGUACACGGGAUGACGUACACGGGAUGACGUACACGGGAUGCUGUACACUGGAUGCUGUACACUGGAUGCUGUACACUGGAUGCUGUACACUGGAUGACGUACACGGGAUGACGUACACGGGGUGACGUACACGGGGUGCUGUACUGGGCGUGCUGUACACGGGAUGCCGUACACUGUUUUUCGCCGCUUUUAGCAUAAUUGCAGCAAAAUCACGACGGGGGACACUAGAAAUGGGCUUCACACGUUUUACCCAUAUGGGGAAUUGAAACCGGGCCUUCGGCGUAACGAGGAAACGCUUGAACCAGUAAGCUACCCCACCGACCCCACCAUGUAGAGAUUAUAUUGUGUGUUUCGUGAACCGUCCUAUUUAUCACAUACAUCGUUGGUUGUCGGCUUACCAUUUUAAACAAUUACACAAAAUAGUACCGUAUGACCAGAAAUUAUCGAGAAUUUUUGGAAUAUGUUUAAUUGGAUGUCCAGUAUAAACAACCUUGACCAGCUAUCAAGUGCUUGGUUUCA
rnacentral:lncRNA from 1 species